GACCGCGUAGCUCAGUUGGCAGAGCAUUGGACUAGUAUUCCAAAGGUCGUAGGUUUGAUUCCCACCGUGGCUG